ACUGGUUGGAUCUCAACAAGGACUGCCUAAUCAAAAGGGCCUGCAAGCAGAAUUGGGUUAUUUUGUGAAGGCUGAGGUCCUUCAGAAGAAAUGUGAUAUACAUCAAGUGCAGUGGAUAGUCCUGUGCAUAAGAGGAGAAUUUAAAAUUCAAACCUUCUCUGAAACUCCAAAACCAGAUGGAAACAAAAGGAAAAGCUAUGGAGGAGAGGUGGAGCAGGACAGGAACUCUGUCUCAGACAUGGGAAGUGUCCUUUCCAAGCACAUGAGGAAGUCUGUUCUGCAGCAGCAGAUACUAUCAAGAUUCUGGAAAUCUGUGGCACAGCUGAACUUUUUGUGUCUGUAAGAAAACUCUGCAUUCAGACUGGAUGAAGGGCCCAAGCAGCUUGAACAAGAACUCUUCUCUCAGAGGAAUUUUUCCAGAUGGCUUUUCCAGCAACUCUUUCCCAUGGCAAUUCCAGGGUGGAACUGCCCUGCACCGGGAGAUGGAGAAUUCAGGUGUCUGGGACAUGAAGUCUCUCCCCAGCCCUCCUGUUCUCCUGCUGCAUUUCUGGGGACAAUUCACACAGAUCUGCUCUGAGGAACUGGACUUUUCAAUGCAGAAGCUGUUUUCCUUGCUUUCCUCAGAGCAGCUUCUCACAGCCCCAGAAUGUCCCUGAUCCUUCGAGAUGUGUCACUGGAGGAGUCUCCUCACUCCAAUCCCAGCUCACUCAUCUCUCUCAGAUUCUCCUUCUGCUAACGAUUCCUGGUGCUGGAAUUGUUGAUCCUGGUGGGUUCUUUCCCACCUGGGAUAAUCCACGGCUCCGUGGUUUGCUCUGCUCAGCCCCGUGGAACAAACAUUCCCAAGCCACAGCGGUGAAGGGAGGAAAUCAGCAGGCUAUGGAGCACAUCUUUCCUUCUGGAUGCUGUCAGCUGUGUUGGGAAUGUCUUCAGAGUUGGGAUUUGGACCUGGACCUCCCUCCAUCCCUGGGUGUGUAACCAUCAGG